CGAUUUUCUUUAAUCUUAUUUCAAGCGCUUCAACUUUUACUUUUUAUGUGCUAUAAAUAAAACUAGAACAGGUUUUAUUUCUCUGGCUUAGUUCGGUUUAACGUGUUCGUUAAUAAAUUCUUUUCUAAUAUCACCUUGUCUUCUCAUAAUGUCGUAUGUGUUCUAGUGAUUUCAAUUAGUUAUAUACAAAUAAGAAAACUUCACUAUGUAAUAAACUAUUUGUGUUGUGUUCGCCUUUGAGAUCUUAGAUAACAAUAUAAUUUUGGUUUCUAUGUCGGAAAAACAUAUUUGAAGAAAUCAUCUCACUAAAAAGCAUAAAGUCCUUUUCUUCCAGAAAAUUACUAAUUUGUAGUGUUUCAACUACCACAACAUGAUUGUACUUAAAAGAGUUAUAAAAGGACUUAGACACUUCCCUUUGGUCUCAAAUCGACCAAAGGGAACUUCGAAUGCAAUGGCAAAAUAAUAUAAAGAUGCUUUGGAGUAAGGAAUUGGCGAGGAGCUGCAACGAGUACGAGUUCUUGGAGGCAUAAAUUGAAGGAGAAUCUUAAACAAUGAUCAGAGAUAACAGAAAAACAUAGCGAAAUGAUAACAUGGACAUAAUACAUAUAAGAUGGGAACAUUAAACUUAGCAUAUUAGUUGUAUUACAAUCUGGAUAGCAAAAAUAUACACACACUGUCGGUACUUUCUACUAUACAAGAAAGCACCUGUAUAAAAAAUGACGCAAUCCAAACUGUAGGAUUUUUAGGUAUAUUUAAAUUUAUUCAUCCAGAUGUGAGGUUAGAAGUGGUGUUGCUGAAUUUUGUUUAUGGUUAUUAGGUGUGAUUUGUGACAAUUUUCAAACAUUUCUUAUUUUUAUCCAGAAAAAAGUUACAUUUUGUGUUUUGUAUGUAAAAGUACCGUCAGGAUAAUAACAGGUGCAAUAUUGACAUUGAUGUAAACAUGAGCAAAGCGAAUACAGAUACGUUUUGGUACUUGAACAAAGCUUUGACUGAUGAAGAACUUUUGGUUGAGACUGAAAAAGUUUUUGUUGAAUUAGAAAAUGAAGAAGUUGAUAUUGUUAUUACUAGCGUUAGUGAUGUACUUAUGCUGGAAGAUAAAGAAGUAGAACUAACUAAUCAAAAUGGGGAAAAUGACACUGAAGUAGUAGAAAUACGUGGCAAAGGGCCCAAGAAGAAGAACAAGACAGAAAUUGAUAGAAAAUGGAGAAAACGGGAAAAACAGACUGAAAUUCCGAGAUACAAUUAUCCAGAGGGAAUAAUUAAUUUAAUAAUUAAUAAUUAAUUUUAAGUAAUUUGGACGCCACCUAAAAGAAUAAAACGCUAAACUUGAAAGAAGAAAAGUUGCUGCACAGUUGGCCAAGUUGUAAACUCUUCUGGAGUAAUGCUGAAGACUUGGGUGUACCACUUGUCAUACGAACAAUGAGCCAUAACAGGUUUCAGGAGAAUUUAUCAUAUCUGCAUGUCAACAAUAACAGCAUUAUUCCUGAGAACAAUAUGGAUAAACUAUACAAAAUCCGUCCGCAUUUUGAAGCACUUAACCGUUAGUUCUCCAGUUAUUAUCAUGGCACUAGGCAGUUGGCUGUUGAUGAAUCAUGAUAUUCUUCAAAGGGAGGUCACGAAUAAAACAAUUCAAUCGCAUGAAGGAGCCCAUAAAAAGGGGUUAUAAGCCUCGGGUGUUUAGCAGAUAAAUAAUAGAGUAGAGUAAAAAUAGAAUGAUUUAGUUCGAUAAUUUUUUUUACAAGUAUCCGUCUUUUAGAAAAACUGAAAAUUAAGGGAACCUUAACUUGUGGAACAAUAAGGUCUCACAAAAAAGAUGAAAAAAAAUUUGGUAGAUGAUAAACCAAUGAAAAGAGGAGAUUAUGAUUACUGGAUCUCAAAUUUAGAUAUAAGUUAUUACAAAUGGAGGGACAAUAAGUGUGUGAAAUUUUGCUCUAAUUUUCAUGGAACAGAAGAGACCAGUAAAAAGGAUGCAAAAGAAUGGAACGAAAAUUGAUGUGCGCUGUCUUUCAGUUAUUGAUGAUUACAACUUCGACAAGUGUAUGCAAUCGACCACUGUUCCAAGAAGUGGUAGCACAGGCUUUGCUUAGAUUUUACAGAUAUAUGCUUCAUCAAUUCUUUUGUCAUAUAUUCCAAAUGUGAAGAGGAAAGGAUGACGCUAUUAGAUUUUCGUUGUUCUGUAGCUACAGAUCUGAGAAAUAAAUACACAAAUUUACUGCGUCCACGAAAAUGUUGUAGCGCAAGUUCACCAGUCCAGUUACCCAAAAGACGAAAGUACAGCUAUUCUGUUACUGACGACGUAAGACUUGGGAACCGUGGUUCGCACUGGAUUACUUUUGGAAAAGAAAGAGGAAGUUGUGAAAAUUAUUCUGCCAAAGCUAUUCAGUCAAGACCCCACUCAAAAUGUACUGUAUGCAAUGUUUAUUUAUGAUGAA